CUCUUCUUUCCCGGCUGCUCUGCUCUACAAUCUCUCAGCUCCGCCCCCACAAGUGCUGGUCACAUGAUUGUGACAUCAGCAAAGGUCCUACACCUCCAGCAUCCUGUAGUACACAGCAGGUUCUAAUCAGGCAGUCAUUGCCAUUGUGCUGUGUGACUGCCCGCCCAGGAUCUGCCUGAUGCAGGGAGGAGAUAACUGACAGCUGACAUUCGGAGCACCAGUCUUUGCAUUUGAGGCACAGGCCCAGAUUGUUUGAACCUAGUGAUGCCCCUGCUGUCCUUAGAUGUAAAAUGAAGUGUCCUUACAAAGUGCAAUUAGUCGUGCAAAAAACAAGCCCUCAUCUGGGUCUGUGGAUGAAAAAAUAAAAGACAAGGAGGGAAAAAAUGAAAGUGCAAAAAGCUUUUUGCUAGUACAUGUCCUUUAGGAGCUGAGUUUCAACACAUUUUGGAGAGAAAAAAAUUGCAGCAAAAUCUGUAGUUAAUAAAUUAAGCUAGUAUCCUGCAGACUGUGUCUCUAGAGAAGAAGGAUUCAACAUCUGCAGCGUGGAUUCUCCACACUUCUGCUCAGGAUGAUUGUGAUGAAAGCAGCCAGGGUACAUGACUGUUUAUUGGCAUCCAUGAGCUACUACUUGUCUCCUAAACUCUUCCUAAAAGACACUUAAAGAGAUGGAGGACCUCAAGCGAAGGAUUUAAUGGUGAUCUGCAAAAGAUUAUUCCCAACAGUUUAAUGCACUUAACUAAACCACCAGUUUCCCCUAUCAUAACUCAUAUAAAAUAUGGAAAAUAUCAAGCAGAUAACACAAAGACAGAAGAAAGAAGAAAAUACAUUCCUCUCCAUUUACUCCAUUGACUUCUGGGCUGAGUUUAACUCUAUUCACCUGGAUAAAGUAUUGUUAGAUGCAUUUUUUUUUACUAUGUUCAAAGUGCUAAAGUAAUAGGAUUUUUAACUGGCUCCUUGCUGGCAAAGUAUGAGCUCCCCCCUCAUCUGUUUAUAAAUCUAGGUGAUCGUCAUGUUAGUAGGACAUGUUAGUGAUGCACAAAAGGCCCCAAACAGCCACAGUGUACUGAAGUUUUUAAAUGUAAAUACAUAUUUGAUGAAGUUUAGGAGGAAAAAUAUAUUUUAUCUCCAAAAAUCCUGUUAAAUCAUUUCAUAUAUCUACAAUAAUAAUUUAUAUUAGAAAGGGGGUUAGGCCAUUUAUAAGCACUCUUAAGUCUUCUAGUAAACAGUCAGUCAGAUGGUGAAGCAGAGGCUCCUAUAUUUAUUCUAUUCUACUGUUCUAAGAGGUAAAUGAGUUUCCUGUCUAGGUUGCAUAGAAUGAGAAUGUCUGACAGGGGGCUUUAAAGAGUGUAUAGUCUAGAGCAAUAACAUAAUUGCAUUAUAAUUAUUAUUUUAUAAUGUAGCAUAUGCUGUUUUUAACACACACAAACAAACAUAUAUAUGUAUAUAAUGUACAGGUGCAAUGUAUAUCAAUGGCUAAAUUCAAUGGCACAAGCUACAGUCUGCCAAAAGAUUUACACAAACUAAAGAAAUAUUGCAGACUGAAUCCCUCAGAUCAUCAAUGAUCUUCUGCACAUUGUCUAAAAUAAAUUUAGUGUUUUUUUUUGUGUGUGUGUUUUUUGCACAAAAAUUAUAUUCAACUUCUCUAACGUUUAAUCCCUCAAUUAGGCUUCGCCCAAGGCAGUUUUCCUAUAUCUUCUGCUGUAAGGUGCAAACUGAAAGAGAUGGUUAUGUCAGGAAUUAUGUAAAAGGUAAUGUACUGUCAUAUAGAAAUUGGCAGUUAAAAAUAAAAAUCCAAAGUAAAAUUCCCAUUAUAGGAUUCCCAAAAAAAAAAAAAAAAUAACAACAAACAAAUAAUAAAAAAAAAAGAAUAAAGUUUUAAUGUCUUAAGGAUGCCGAUAAGUUUUAAAAGUUUAUCCUAGAACCCUUUAAGCUUGUGCCAGAAAAUUAUUCAGAUUUGUAGAUUACUUUUAUUAACCCCUUAAGGACAAAGCCCAUUUAAUUUUAGCGUUUUUGUUUUUUCUUCCUCGCCUUCUAAAAUCCAUAACUCUUUUAUAUUUCCAUCUACAGACCCAUAUAAGGGCUUGUUUUUUGCGUGACCAAUUGUACUUUGUAACGAAACCACUCAUUGUGCCAAAAAAAUGUAUGGCAAACCCAAAUAAUUUUUUUUAGGGAGGAAAUUUAAAUGAAAACCACAAUUUUGCACAUUUUGGAGGGUUUCUUUUUCACACUGUACACUUUACGGUAAAAAUGACAUGUGUUCUUUAUUCUGUGGGUCAAUGCAAUUAAAAUGAUACCCAUGGCUAGAUACUUUUAUAUUUUUGCACCGCUUAAAAAAAAAUCGCAAACUUUUUGUAAAAAAUCAGUAAUAUAAAAUCGCCCUAUUUUGACCACCUAUAACUUUUAAAUUUUUCCGUAUAUACGGUAGUAUGAGGGCUCAUUUAUUGCGCCAUAGUCUGUACUUUUUA